GGAGGGAUGUCCGAAUUGGCAAGGGGCCGGUCUUGAAAACCGGUAUGCCGCAAGGCUGUGUGGGUUCGAGUCCCACUCCCUCCGCCA
rnacentral:tRNA from 2 species